GGGUUGUGAGGUUAAGCGACUAAGCGUACACGGUGGAUGCCUAGGCAGUCAGAGGCGAUGAAGGGCGUGCUAAUCUGCGAA
rnacentral:rRNA from 1 species